rfam:Lingula anatina scaffold341, whole genome shotgun sequence.
GUCAGAAUGGCCGAGCGGUCUAAGGCGCCAGACUCAAGCGUUGACUUGCCUUCUCAAUGAAGGAUCGAGUGUUCUGGUCCACGAAUGUGGGCGUGGGUUCGAAUCCCACUUCUGACA